rnacentral:lncRNA from 10 species
GUCUGAAUAGUCAUAAGCUAUCCAUUACUGACCUGCUUCCCAUAAAGAAUGAGCUGAGAGUCCUGACUUAAGACUCAGGAAGGAGUGAAGAUGGACGCUCAGCCUGUUUCAGCAGUGGAUCGUCAUGUGAUUCCACCUUACUUGGAGCUGUUCCAGAAGCAGAAACCCUCUCAGCCUUGAUUUUGGAUCCAGCUCAGGACCGUUGUGCUUAAGAUUCAUUGUUAUUGUGGCUUAUCAUCACAUCUGUUUCUAACCUCAUUAGGGCCAUCAUUCUUGGAAAGUCAUCCAGUUCAUCAAUAUCCUUUAACACUGUUUGGAUUUGUGGGUGUUCAUUCAAGCAGGAAGGGAGGCCUAUGGAGCUUAUACAGGUUGGGAAGACGACAGUCAACAAAAAUUUGUGGACCAGGGAUACAGUAUGAAUCAGUGAAAAACAUACUGAGUUAAAGCUUGAAUGGACUUUUGGCUUUAUCACUAACCAUGUGUGAAACAGAAUAUUAAAUACCCUCUCUG